rnacentral:rRNA from 1 species
AUUGAACGCUGGCGGCAGGCCUAACACAUGCAAGUCGAACGAGUGGCGGACGGGUGAGUAAUGUCUGGGAAACUGCCUGAUGGAGGGGGAUAACUACGGGAAACGGUAGCUAAUACCGCAUACCAUCAGAUAUUCCCAGAUGGUAUUAGCUAGUUGGUGGGGUAACGGCUCACCAAGGCGACGAUCCCUAGCUGGUCUGAGAGGUUGAACAGCCACACUGGAACUGAGACACGGUCCAGAUUCCUACGGGAGGCAGCAGUGGGGAAUAUGGCACAAUGGGCGAAAGCCUGAUGUAGCCAUGCCGGGGGAAUGAAGAAGGCCUUCGGGUUGUAAAGUACUUUCAGCGGGGAGGCGUUACCCGCAGAAGAAGCACCGGCUAACUCCGUGCCAGCAGCCGCGGUAAUAC